UGCGUGGCAUGACUUGGCAGAACAGGAGCACCCCCUCCUCUCCCACAGUUCCUGCUCAAUUGUUCCUACAAAGGAGAGAAGAAUCAACGGGUACAGACAGCAUCGAAACAUUAAUAACUCGGAUAAGUGCCCAGUUGACUUUGAGAUGAGGUGGCUUCUGGACUGCAGUGCAAAUGAAUUUGCCAAACACUCCAUGGACUGAGAUUGGUAUGGCAACCUACUAAGCUGCUAAGGGGAAAGAGUUUCCAUGAACAUUCCUGCUUUAGCAGGAGGAGUACUAAUACACAUUUUAAGUCUGAAAUAGAAGUUGUUAUAAAGUUUCCAGCCAACAGUUUUGUUUCUCCAAGGGACGCGGUACAAGUCCACAGGAACACAAGAGUUGUGAAUUACUGAUUGCAUACCAGUGUGUGUGCAGCAGGUAGCCAAUGGAUAUCCCAAGACCUGUCAAGGUUCUGCCUUUUACCAUUUUUUUUCAUUCAGUGAUGCUUUAGUUAAGGUAUGACUCCAUGGAGGUGUGUUUACAACUCAAGAGAGCAGACUUCACAAAAAUAAACAAGCUCUACUCAAACAACCUGUGUUGUAUGGCAUAUGAAAACAGUGGAAGUCAUGGUCCCAGAGCAGCCUCUGAGCAUGCUGGUAGUCAGAUCCACAUUUCAGCCAAGUUUCCCAGCUGGGAUAUUAACAUAGGUAGGAAUCAGCCUCAAUCCAUUCUACACAGAGCUCAGUGUAGUAAAUUUAACACACCUGAAUUGAGCAAAGGCCAUCCAGAUCAUUUUUUUCACUACUAUAGCUACUUUUUUAAGCCAGGACUAGUAAAAGGGCUUUCAGAAACAGCUGAAGAGGAAACUCGCCAUUAUGGAAGUAAGAAGAAAAUGAGAAGAUGAAGUACAGGAAAGCUUGGGAGAAGAUGAUAAGGGAAUAGUGCGGUCAGGUGUGUCAAUAACUGUAUCAGUAGUAAAUAAGCAGGGUAGAGUUCCAACCUUAUGGCAAAGCUUGUGUCAACAUCAAACACUGG
ensembl:lncRNA